ACAAUAAAUCACAAUGCGGGACUAUUCGUCUUGCAAUUGGAUUGAGAACAAUGUACAACUCUUAUCGAUAAGCCAUUGGAGGGCAAGUCUGGUGCCAGCAGCCGCGGUAAUUCCAGCUCCAAUAGCGUAUAUUAACGUUGUUGCAGUUAAAAAGCUCGUAGUUGAAGUGUGGGUGGUGCCUACUUCAUGACUUCGGUUGUGAGGUGGAUCACCACCCCCUUCCAGUAUCCAGUAGUGGGUAUUCAGUUACUUACUACUGUGUGUUGGUCAUUUACUGUGAGAAAAUUAGAGUGUUCAAAGCAGGCGUUUGCUUGAAUAGAUUAGCAUGGAAUAAUAAUUGAAGGCUUUCGUGUUCGAUUUGAUUGGUUUGUUCAUGGAAGCAAGGUUAAAAGGAACAGUUGGGGGUAUUCAUAUUCACUAGUUAGAGGUGAAAUUCUCGGAUUUAUGGAAGAUGAACAA
rnacentral:rRNA from 1 species